UCCCCCUCCAAGACUGGCCCUUCUCCCGGCCUCCUCCCACCCGGGGUCCGCGUGGCGGGGCGCGCGCGCACUCUGGCUGGGUUACUGCCCAGCUCCCCGGCCGCAGCGGUAAGGGGAGGGGGCGGGACUAUUCCCUUCUGAGCCCCGCCCCCUUGGCCCGGCGUCUCUACCGCGCCUGCGCGCUCCCGCCCGGUCUCCAUCUUGGAAUUGGGAGGAAGAGGGAGAGGGAGACCGGGACGAGACCGGGGCUGUGGUGCGGAGAGAAGCUGAGACUGAGAAGAGGAGAGGGAGAGAGGGCACGGGGACCGCCCUUAGCUACAAUCUUUCCGCUAUCCUCGGGAGAGAGAAGGGGAAAGGGAGGAGGCCGGGGCGGGAGUGGAGGCUGUCACCCUCGGACCCCGGCGUGAGAGGGGCCGUGCGGUCGACCGUCCUCGGGGUAGGCCCCCUGUCGGUGGCCGAAGACCUGGGGCUCAGUCCCUUCGGUCUCGAAUUUCCGGGCUUGACCCCACGCUUCUCAAAUAUCCGGGUAUCAGCCCCUCAGAUUUCAGAUAUCCGGGACUCGGGUCCCAACCUCUCUAAACCUGGGGCUCUGUUUCAUAGAAUUUCAAAUAUCUGGUGUUCAGGAUCCUGCGUGUACCAGUAUCCGGGGUUCAUUCCCCACUAGUUCAGAUAUCAGAUUCAGCCUCCCCCCGUUCAAAUAUCUGGGGCUCAGACCCCACAAUCAGAAAUCCGGGAUUCAGCAACUGUCGCCCUCGAGGAGGAGGAGGACUGGACCGCGAGGUCAGAUCAGGUUGUCACCCCCUCCCCUCCACGGGAGGCUUCCCGGGCCCGCCCCUCAGGAAGGGCGAAAGCCGAGGAAGAGGUGGCAAGGGGAAAGGUCUCCUUGCCCCUCUCCCUGCUUGGCAGAGCCGCUGGAGGACCCCAGGAGGAGGCGGAGGCGCUGGGGCACCAUAGUGACCCCUACCAGGUCAGGCCCCAUUCUCAGGGCCCCCAGGGGCCACCAUGCCAGCUGGGGGCCGGGCCGGGAGCCUGAAGGACCCCGAUGUGGCUGAGCUCUUCUUCAAGGAUGACCCAGAAAAGCUCUUCUCUGACCUCCGGGAAAUUGGCCAUGGCAGCUUUGGAGCUGUGUACUUUGCCCGGGAUGUCCGGAAUAGUGAGGUGGUGGCCAUCAAGAAGAUGUCUUACAGUGGGAAGCAGUCAAAUGAGAAGUGGCAGGACAUCAUCAAGGAGGUGCGGUUCCUGCAGAAGCUCCGGCAUCCCAAUACCAUUCAGUACCGGGGCUGUUACCUGAGGGAACACACGGCUUGGCUGGUGAUGGAGUAUUGCCUGGGCUCAGCUUCUGACCUUCUAGAAGUGCACAAGAAGCCCCUUCAGGAGGUGGAGAUUGCAGCUGUGACCCACGGGGCUCUUCAGGGCCUGGCUUAUCUGCACUCCCACAACAUGAUCCAUAGGGAUGUGAAGGCUGGAAACAUCCUGCUGUCAGAGCCAGGCUUGGUGAAGCUGGGGGACUUCGGUUCUGCAUCCAUCAUGGCACCUGCCAACUCCUUCGUGGGCACCCCAUACUGGAUGGCUCCAGAAGUGAUCCUGGCAAUGGAUGAGGGGCAGUACGAUGGCAAGGUGGAUGUCUGGUCCUUGGGCAUAACAUGCAUCGAGCUGGCGGAACGGAAACCACCGCUGUUUAACAUGAAUGCGAUGAGUGCCUUAUACCACAUUGCACAGAACGAGUCCCCUGUGCUCCAGUCAGGACACUGGUCUGAGUACUUCCGGAAUUUUGUUGACUCCUGCCUUCAGAAAAUCCCUCAAGACAGACCAACCUCAGAGGUUCUUCUGAAGCACCGCUUUGUGCUCCGGGAGCGGCCACCCACAGUCAUCAUGGACUUAAUCCAGAGGACCAAGGAUGCUGUUCGGGAGCUGGACAACCUGCAGUACCGCAAGAUGAAGAAGAUACUGUUCCAAGAGGCACCCAAUGGCCCUGGCGCUGAGGCCCCAGAGGAGGAGGAGGAAGCAGAGCCCUACAUGCAUCGGGCGGGGACGCUGACCAGUCUAGAGAGUAGCCAUUCAGUGCCAAGCAUGUCCAUCAGCGCCUCCAGCCAGAGCAGCUCAGUCAACAGCCUAGCAGAUGCCUCCGACAAUGAAGAGGAGGAAGAGGAAGAGGAGGAGGAAGAAGAGGAGGAGGAAGGCCCUGAAGCCCGGGAAAUGGCAAUGAUGCAGGAAGGGGAGCACACAGUCACCUCCCACAGCUCCAUCAUCCACCGGCUGCCGGGCUCUGACAACCUGUAUGAUGACCCCUACCAGCCAGAGAUGACCCCAGGCCCUCUCCAGCCACCUGCAGCCCCGGCUCCCACCGCUACCACCUCUUCUGCCCGCCGUCGGGCCUACUGCCGCAACCGGGACCACUUUGCCACCAUUCGUACUGCCUCCCUGGUUAGCCGUCAAAUCCAGGAGCAUGAGCAGGACUCAGCCCUGCGGGAGCAGCUGAGUGGUUAUAAGCGGAUGCGACGCCAGCACCAGAAGCAGCUGUUAGCGUUGGAGUCAAGGCUGAGGGGUGAACGUGAGGAACAUAGCGCACGGCUGCAGCGGGAGCUCGAGGCACAGCGGGCUGGCUUUGGGGCUGAGGCAGAAAAGCUGUCACGGCGGCACCAGGCUAUCGGUGAGAAGGAGGCAAGAGCUGCCCAGGCUGAGGAGCGUAAGUUCCAGCAGCACAUCCUCGGGCAGCAGAAGAAGGAGCUGGCUGCCCUGCUGGAGGCACAGAAGCGAACCUAUAAACUUCGGAAGGAGCAGCUGAAGGAGGAGCUCCAGGAGAACCCCAGCACCCCCAAGCGGGAGAAGGCCGAGUGGCUUUUGCGGCAGAAGGAGCAGCUGCAGCAGUGCCAGGCAGAGGAGGAGGCUGGGCUGCUGCGGCGGCAGCGCCAGUACUUUGAGCUGCAGUGUCGCCAGUACAAGCGCAAGAUGCUACUGGCUCGUCACAGCCUGGACCAGGACCUGCUGCGAGAGGACUUGAACAAGAAACAGACACAGAAGGACUUGGAGUGUGCACUGCUGCUACGGCAGCAUGAGGCCACACGGGAGCUGGAGCUACGGCAGCUCCAGGCCGUACAGCGCACACGGGCUGAGCUCACCCGCCUACAGCACCAGACGGAGCUGGGCAACCAGCUGGAGUACAACAAGCGGCGUGAGCAAGAGUUGCGGCAGAAGCAUGCAGCCCAGGUUCGCCAGCAGCCCAAGAGCCUCAAAGUACGUGCAGGCCAGCGUUCCCCGGGCCUCCCGCUCCCCACUCCUGGGGCUCUGGGACCACCCAGCACAGGCACCCCUAGAGAAGAGCAGCCCUGUUCAUCUGGCCAGGAGGCAGUCCUGGACCAAAGAAUUCUGAGAGAGGAGGAGGAAGCAGUUCCAGAGAGAAGGAUUCUGGGAGAGGAAGGGGCUGCCUUGGAGCCAGAGGAGCAGAGGAUAUUGGGGGAACAGUCAGGAACCCCGAGUCCCAGUCCCCUGAACUGUAGGAGUUUGGUUGAUGAGGACGUUUGGGGGCUACCUGAGGAGGAGGUAGAGGAGCUUAGACUUCCAUCCCUGGCGUCCCAGGAAAGGAGCAUUGUGGGCCAGGAGGCAUCUGGGGAAUGGAGGUUGUGGGAGAAGGAGGAUAGUAGUUUCUUGGAUGAGGAGUUUGAGCUUGACUGGGUCCAGGGUCCAGCACUGACCCCAGUCCCUGAGGAGGAGGAGGAGGAAGAGGAGGGGGCUCCAUUUAGGACCCCAAGGGAUCCUGGAGAUGGCUGUCCCUCACCAGACAUCCCCCCUGAGCCACCCCCAACACAUCUGAGACCCAGCUCUACUAGCCAGCUCCCUGGGCUCCUGUCCCAUGGCCUCUUGGCUGGACUCUCCUUUGCAGUGGGGUCCUCCUCUGGCCUCUUGCCCCUGCUACUUCUGCUGCUGCUCCCGCUGCUGGCAGCUCAAGGUGGGGGUGGCCUGCAGGCAGCCCUGCUGGCCCUUGAGGUGGGGCUGGUGGGCCUGGGGGCCUCCUACCUACUUCUUUGUACAGCUCUGCACCUGCCCCCCAGUCUGUUCCUACUCCUGGCCCAGGGCACUGCACUGGGGGCCGUCCUGAGUCUGAGCUGGCGCCGAGGCCUAAUGGGUGUCCCUCUGGGCCUUGGGGCUGCCUGGCUUCUAGCCUGGCCAGGCCUAUUUCUACCUCUAGCAGCUCUGACAGCUGGGGGCAAAUGGGUGAGGCAGCAGGUCCCCCGGAUGCGCCGGGGCAUCUCUCGACUCUGGUUGCGGGCUCUGCUGCGUCUGUCGCCCAUGGCCUUCCGGGCCCUCCAGGGCUGUGGGGCCGUGGGGGACCGGGGCCUGUUUGCGCUCUACCCCAAGACCAACAAGGAUGGCUUCCGCAGCCGUCUGCCUGUCCCUGGGCCCCGGCGAGGGAAUCCUCGCACUGCCCGACACCCACUAGCCCUGUUGGCAAGGUUUUGGGCCCUGUGCAAGGGCUGGAACUGGCGCCUGGCACGGGCCAGCCAGGGUUUAGCCACCUGCUUGCCCCCCUGGGCCAUCCACACACUGGCUAGUUGGGGCCUGCUUCGGGGUGAGCGGCCCAGCCGUAUCCCCCGGCUGCUACCACGCAGCCAGCGCCGGCCAGGCCCCUCUGCCUCCCACCAACCACCGCCAGGGGCUCUGGCUGGGCGGAGAUCCCGAACCCGCCAGUCCCGGGCCCUGCCGCCCUGGAGGUGACCACCUCUAGCUCUUCUCCAGCCCCAGUCUAGAGCAUCGAGCACUUUAUCUCCCACUACUCAGUGAAGUCUCUCCAGUCCCGGUCCUCUCCUCCCUUACCCCUCCUUCCUCGGUGUGCUUCCCCACCUCACCCCAGCCCUUCGGGCCGCUAGACAGGCAGCCUCCUCGCCGUGGAGUCCGGAGAUUAUACUUUGUGUUCUCCUGAGCUCCUCCCCCACCCUAAGUUAUUGCUGUUCUCCCGCUGUGUGUGUGUUCAUCCUCACCCUCAUCGACUCAGGCCUGGGGCCAGGGGUGGCAGUGGGUGGGAAGAGUCAUGUUUGUUUUUUUUUUUUCUCUCUGAUUUUGUUUUUCUGUCUCCCUUCCAACCUGUCCCCUUACCCCCACCAAAAAAAAAAAAAAAAAAAAAAAAAAAGACAAACACAAAUAAAAUAUCUGAGCGGAACUGUACCUUUGGCCCAGGCUGCCUCUGUCUGCUUUGUCCUGCCGCCUAGCCUCCCCGGUAUGCCCCCGAUCUGGACCCUUGGCCCCCAGUUCCAUGACCUUUUCACCCCAUCUGUAUUAUCGCAACACCUCUCACUCUUCAGCCUCAUCUUCUCUACCUUCAUAGCUUCGUUCAGCCAUGACCACUACCAGCUCAGGGGUCCGGGCCUCUGUUGAGCUCCCACAGAACUUAGUCCCAGAGUUCCCUGUUUGUGGAUUCCUCCCAGAGAGUCCUCAGGUUCCGGGUGCUUUUGUCCUCAUUCCCUACCUUUUCUCCCGACCCACUCCCUGUGUAGUUCCCUUCUGUCUGGGAGCUGAAUGUCUCUCCUGGCAUCAGGCACAACCCUAGAGUGCUGGGGGAUGGGACCACAAGCCCCCAUGGUAGGGGGUGGUGAGUUUGGGGGCCCAGGCAGCGUGUGGGGGCUGUGAAGAUGGGAUUGGUUGUGGGCUCGGCAUGGGAGCUGAGUGCAUAAGGGGUGGGGCUGGAAUGUGGAGGUCUGUUCAGGGUGGCAGCUGCUGGCCUGUUGAACUUGUCAGGCCCUUUCUGGCCACCUCCUUUGCCCCUUUCCCUUAUGUGGCCUGAGAUGGGGCCACCCCUUUUUAACCGUUUCCUAGCUCGGUGCUUAUCCUUCUUCCCUCCCUCCCACCCUGAGGUGAUGAACCUGGGACUUCCUCUGUCCUUGCUCAGCUGUGUUGCUGUCUUCCACGGGUGUGUCAACUGACGUGGUUUUCUCACUCGUGCAUAUUCUGUAUCUGCUCAUAGUCAUCUAUCUCUAGGUUAUAUUUUCUCCCUCCUUGCAUGGUCAGAGCUUCUUUGUGUGCGCUCGGUACUUCAAAGAGUCUCCCUUGUCCUGCUCUAGUCUAUGAACUCUCCUGCUUUUUCCUGUGAAUUUUCCACCCAACUCUGUGCACAUGCUCUUGGAACCUGUCUUGUCUUCUUUGCAUCUCUUGCCCAUUAUGAACCUUCCUGAUCUCUCUCGACACAAUCCCAUCUCUCCACAUCUGUCUGUAUACAGCUCCCCCCGCCCCCUCUGUCUAACAUGUUUUCUGUUUCUCUCCCUCUCCCUGUCUCUGCUUCUGUCUCCUCUCCUCCUCUCUUUCUUCUCCCCCUUUCCCCUGGUUGUUCCUCCUCCUCCUCCUCCCCCCUGCCCCCAUCUCCCCUUGGUCCAUCCACUGCAUAGUCUAAGGAGCUGCAGAUCAAGAAGCAGUUCCAGGAGACGUGUAAGAUCCAGACUCGGCAGUACAAGGCUCUGCGGGCACACUUGCUGGAGACCACGCCCAAAGCUCAGCACAAGAGCCUCCUUAAGCGGCUCAAGGAAGAACAGACCCGCAAGCUGGCAAUCCUAGCCGAGCAGUACGACCAAUCCAUCUCAGAGAUGCUCAGCUCACAGGCGGUGAGGCCUGGGGUCCAGGGAGGGAGCAUGGUGGAGGUUGGCCUCUAUAUUCCCAGCUGAGCCGUGGGCAAUGGAAGUGGGGGGUUGUAGACAGAGAGAGGGCUUUUUGUUCUGGGGAAGCUCAGAUUUUCUUCCGCUAUUGAUAUUCUCUGCAAUGCUUUUAUGAUUUCUUUUAAGUAUUCUCUUAAGGUCUUGACAAAGCCAGCCUGCCUACUCCACCAAGAACCACCAAGGAAAGAGUGGCUAUAAUUUUUUCCCCGGCCUGAGUUACUUUAAUUAUGAACAGGGAACAAAUCAAAAUUAUUGUGGCCCUCAGGCCAGUUUGCUCAGACUUCUGGAGGAGGAUUUUGAAGGUUGCUGUUCUAAAAGUGAUCGCAUAUAACACUGGAAUGGGCCACUUAAAAUAGCACAGUGUAAAAAGUGUCCUUAUUCAUUGCCAUUCCCUCACCUAAUCCCGCCUCUCAGAGGUAACUGUUGUUAGUAAUGGUAUUUUAGGGGUUUUUUCCCCCUAUGUGUAUUUGGAAAAUGAUAUAAAAAGUUUAAACAAAAAUGGAACCAUACUUUUACAUACUGUUCUCUAACUUCUUUUCCCACCUAAUAUUUCUUGGACAUCUUUCCAUGUCAGUACACAUAUCUCAUUUUUUAAGAGCAUAGAAUUUUCCAUGGUAUGGAUGUACCAUAAUUUAUUUAACCCAUCCCUUAUUGGUGGACAUUUAGGUUGUUUCCAGUAUUUUGCUAUUACAACGCUUCAGUGAACACCUUCGAGCUCAUGUGCAAGUAUACCUGGGGGAUAAAUUCCUGGAAGUGUAAUUGCUGUGUCACAGGCUGCGGCUUGAUGAGACCCAGGAGGCAGAGUUCCAGGCCCUUCGGCAGCAGCUUCAACAGGAGCUGGAGCUGCUCAAUGCUUACCAGAGCAAGAUCAAGAUCCGCACGGAGAGUCAACACGAGAGGGAGCUACGGGAGCUGGAGCAGAGAGUGGCUCUGAGGCGGGCACUGCUGGAGCAGCGAGUGGAAGAGGAGCUGCUGGCCCUGCAGACAGGGCGCUCCGAGCGAAUCCGGAGUUUGCUUGAGCGGCAGGCCCGUGAGAUCGAGGCUUUCGAUGCUGAGAGCAUGAGGCUGGGCUUCUCCAGUAUGGCUCUGGGGGGCAUCCCGGCCGAGGCUGCUGCCCAGGGCUAUCCUGCUCCACCCCCUGCCCCUGCCUGGCCCUCCCGGCCUGUUCCCCGUUCAGGGGCACACUGGAGCCAUGGCCCUCCUCCACCAGGCAUGCCCCCCCCAGCCUGGCGUCAGCCCUCUCUCCUGGCUCCUCCGGGGCCCCCAAACUGGCUGGGACCCCCAGCACAGAGUGGGACACCCCGUGGUGGAGCCCUGCUGCUGCUAAGAAACAGCCCCCAGCCCCUGCGGCGAGCAGCCUCGGGGGGCAGUGGCAGUGACAAUGUGGGCCCACCUGCUGCUGCAGUGCCAGGGCCUCUGAGCCGCAGCACCAGUGUUGCUUCCCACAUCCUCAAUGGUUCCUCCCACUUCUAUUCUUGAAGUACAAAGUGGAUGAGCAGAUGAUCGAGGCAGGGGUGGGUGGAGCCUGAUCCUGGAGGGCUAUAAGCCUGAGGUCCACCCAAGAGUGGGAGACAGGGGUGUUGGCUCCAGCUCCCCUCAGACCUCAUCUCAUGAGCUUCUUGGGCUGGCCAGUGGCCCAAGGCCACCUUGGGCAUAGGUGCCUCAAGGCUGACCAGGUGCCCCUGCCUCCCCACCAUGGUGCCAGGGUCUCUCUCCAUCACGGCCUCGGGAAAGGAGGGAGAUGAUGUGUGUCAAAUAUUCAUCUAGUCCCCUGGGGGAGGGGAAGGGUGGGUCUAGAUAUAUUAUAUAAAGAGAACUAUACUACCCUCUGGAAUGGGGCCAUGGACUGGGGACAGCAGGCCCCCACCCAGACCUGGGAUGUGGCAGAGCAGGUCUGGAGCCUGGGGUGGGGAGAAUGGGAGGAAAAGGCCUUCCUGAAACUCAUGGAGUCAGGAUGCCUGGGUCUCUCCAUUCCCCCGUUGCUGUCUGACGUCCUGUGCCGUCUUGUCCUUUAUCUUUUUUUUUUUUUUUUUUUUUUUUAAUUGAGAUCAGAGUUUGGGCAGGGGAACAGAUCACCUUGGAAGGGGCUGCUCCCAGGCCUGGGGGCAGUCAUGGGAGCCCCUCCCAGCUAUGGGGCCGGCACAGAGCCCCUUGGGCAAGCUUUUAAUAAACUGUUGGUUAUUCUAACAGAU